GGGCGCGUAGCUCAGUUGGUUAGAGCAUCUGUCUUACAAACAGAGGGUCAGAGGUUCGAGUCCUCUCGCGCCCA
rfam:Parcubacteria (Moranbacteria) bacterium GW2011_GWC2_40_12 TT79_C0002, whole genome shotgun sequence.